rnacentral:rRNA from 1 species
GAUGAACGCUGGCGGCGUGCCUAACACAUGCAAGUCGAGCGAACGGACGAUAAGCUUGCUUCUCUGAUGUUAGCGGCUGACGGGUGAGUAACACGUGGAUAACCUACCUAUAAGACUGGGAUAACUUCGGGAAACCGGAUCUAAUACUGGAUAAUAUUUUGAACCGCAUGGUUCAAAAGUGAAAGACGGUCUUGCUGUCUCUUAUAGAUGGAUCCGUGCUGCAUUAGCUAGUUGGUAAGGUAACGGCUUACCAAGGCAACGAUGCAUAGCCGACCUGAGAGGGUGAUCGGCCACACUGGAACUGAGACACGGUCCAGACUCCUACGGGAGGCAGCAGUAGGGAAUCUUCCGCAAUGGGCGCAAGCCUGACGGAGCAACGCCGCGUGAGUGAUGAAGGUCUUCGGAUCGUAAAACUCUGUUAUUAGGGAGGAAAAUAAGUGUAAGUAACUGUGCACAUCUUGACGUUACCUAAUCAGAAAGCCACGGCUAACUACGUG